rnacentral:rRNA from 1 species
GUGAAAGCCCCGGGCUCAACCCGGGAAUUGCAUUCGAGACUGCCUGGCUAGGGUGCGGAAGAGGGAAGCGGAAUUUCCGGUGUAGCGGUGAAAUGCGUAGAUAUCGGAAGGAACACCAGUGGCGAAAGCGGCUUCCUGGUCCGACACCGACGUUCAGGCACGAAAGCGUGGGGAGCAAACAGGAUUAGAUACCCUGGUAGUCCACGCCAUAAACGAUGAGAACUAGACGUUGGAGGGGUCAGCCUUUCAGUGUCGCAGCUAACGCGUUAAGUUCUCCGCCUGGGGAGUACGGCCGCAAGGUUGAAACU